UACGUAGACCUCAAGCGUUAUUCGGAUUUAUUGGGCGUAAAGCGUGUGUAGGAGGUUUCGUAAGUCAGAUGUUAAAUUCCAGAGCCUAACUUUGGAACCGCAUUUGAUACUGCGAGACUGGAGGGUACUAGAGGUGAACGGAACGCACGGUGUAGGGGUGACAUCCGUUGAUAUCGUGCGGAACACCAAAGGCGAAGGCAGUUCACUGGGGUACUCCUGACUCUGAGACACGAAAGCGUGGGGAGCAAAAAGG
rnacentral:rRNA from 1 species